UACGUAGGGGGCAAGCGUUGUCCGGAUUUACUGGGCGUAAAGAGCGUGUAGGCGGCCAAACAGGUCCGUUGUGAAAACUGGAGGCUCAACCUCCAGACGUCGACGGAAACCGUGUGGCUAGAGUCCGGAAGAGGAUCGCGGAAUUCCCGGUGUAGAGGUGAAAUGCGCAGAUAUCAGGAAGAACACCAAUGGCGAAAGCAGCUUUCUGGGACGGUACUGACGCUGAGACGCGAAAGCGUGGGGAGCGAACAGG
rnacentral:rRNA from 1 species